CCCAGACUCCUACGGGAGGCAGCAGUGAGGAAUAUUGGUCAAUGGGCGGAAGCCUGAACCAGCCAAGUCGCGUGAGGGAAGAAGGCCCUGCGGGUCGCAGACCUCUUUGGACGGGGAGCAAGGCCGCCGACGUGUCGGCGGAAGGAGAGUACCCGUAGAACAAGCAUCGGCUAACUCCGUGCCAGCAGCCGCGGUAAUACGUAGGGGGCGAGCGUUAUCCGGAUUUACUGGGUGUAAAGGGAGCGUAGACGGCAAUGCAAGUCUGAAGUGAAACCCCAAGGCUCAACCAUGGGCAUGCUUUGGAAACUGUGUAGCUAGAGUGCAGGAGAGGCAGGCGGAAUUCCUAGUGUAGCGGUGAAAUGCGUAGAUAUUAGGAGGAACACCAGUGGCGAAGGCGGCCUGCUGGACGAUGACUGACGUUGAGGCUCGAAAGCGUGGGGAGCAAACAGGAUUAGAUACCCUGGUAA
rnacentral:rRNA from 1 species